GACGAACGCUGGCGGCGUGCUUAACACAUGCAAGUCGAACGAAGAGCGAUGGAAGCUUGCUUCUAUCAAUCUUAGUGGCGAACGGGUGAGUAACGCGUAAUCAACCUGCCCUUCAGAGGGGGACAACAGUUGGAAACGACUGCUAAUACCGCAUACGAUCCAAUCUCGGCAUCGAGACUGGAUGAAAGGUGGCCUCUAUUUAUAAGCUAUCACUGAAGGAGGGGAUUGCGUCUGAUUAGCUAGUUGGAGGGGUAACGGCCCACCAAGGCGAUGAUCAGUAGCCGGUCUGAGAGGAUGAACGGCCACAUUGGGACUGAGACACGGCCCAGACUCCUACGGGAGGCAGCAGUGGGGAAUCUUCCGCAAUGGACGAAAGUCUGACGGAGCAACGCCGCGUGAGUGAUGACGGCCUUCGGGUUGUAAAGCUCUGUUAAUCGGGACGAAGGUUCUUGUGCGAAUAGUGCGAGGA
rnacentral:rRNA from 1 species